CUAACACCAUAUUUACUUUCAAAAUAUAAUUGCACUAUUAAUGGAAACAUAUUUUCUCUCUAGAGUUUCAACCAUUUGUAAUUGACUAUUAAAGUUAAUCUUAGAGAGUAAUAAUGACAGUGGUCUAGGGUUUUCAUGCGCUUUUUCUUUUUCUCUUUCUUUCUUUUUUUUUUUUUUUUUUUUUUUUUUGGCGGAGUCUAGCUCUGUCUCCCAGGCUGGAGUGCAGUGACGUGAUCUCGGCUCACAGCAACCUCUGCUUCCCGGGCUCAAGCGAUUCUCCUGCCUCAGCCUCCCGAGUAGCCAGGAUUACAGGCGCCCUCCACCAUGCCCAGGUAAGGGAACUUGCCCAGGGCCUUGUCUGGGCAUGCUGAUUGGAGGCCCACAUGCACUGGGAGAAUGGGGUGGAGCCACCAGGAAUUUGCGCCUUGUGCAAGGGCAUGAGCCUGGCCUCUUCAGCUCCUGUGUGGUGGCCUGGUAUUCAGUCUGUGAUGUGGGAGCCUGUUGCCAGGACCCCUCUUCGUUUGCUGAGAGCUUUCUUUUCAUACAGUAAAGCCAUCCUCCUCACCCUUCAGUGUGUCCAUGUGACUAACAUUUGCUGGUCCUGAGACAAGAACCGAGAUUUUAGCUGAACCAAGGAACAAAAACUCCUGCAUCAAGAGCACUUGAAUUUCUGACUGCUAUUUUGUGUAUUUCAACGAAUUUUAGCCUGGACAAAUAAAUAACUAUAUAAUUAUAAUUCUAUUAAUAUGAAAAGUUACAGUGAAUUCUCCUAAUAAUUUAUAAUUAUUAUAUAUUUUAAAUUAUGUAAAUCUGCAUGCUGUAAUCAUUACCUCUUGGCAGUUUUUGAAAAUUCAGAAAUGUCUUCAUAUCUUUGUCUUGUUCUGAAAGCGGAAGCAGGACAAAUGCAAAUGGUGAAUUAUUAACCAACAAGGAGUACAGAAAAAAUGUAAUAGCUUAAGGGACCAAAAAUGUAGUGAGAUAUGGAUAGGAAAUAAAAAUAAGAAAAGAGGACAUAAGCAGUUGACGAAUAUUAUACAAAUACCGAGAUACCAGAGAAGCAAAUGAGUUUCUUUCAAAAUGACCAUGUUAUCAGUAAACAAAGAAACGAGAAAAAUACAUUGAAAGUAGCACAAGCUACAUUCUAAAAGUCAGACGCGAAGCUAUGACAACUUUAGAAAUGUAAACUGCUCUCUUAGUAGCCAAGGUUAGUUUCACCUUUCCUAUUAUUGUAUUCAUAAAAUUUCAUACAGAAGAUAUGGGGUUUUAUAAGCAAUGCUAAUUUCAAACUCGUCAAACUAGAAAAAAUAAAAUGUUUUAUGUCUAAGUUAUUGUCAUCUUUUAUAACAGUAAUUUUAGUGUUAGAUUUUUAUGUUUGCA
rnacentral:lncRNA from 1 species